CACGCUGACGGCGUCGCGAACUGUUCCCUGAGUGGUACGACUCGGCCGAACUCGUGGUGUAGCCGUGAAUGCUAGAUAUCACGAGGACCCCGAUGGGAGGCAGCGGCGAGUCCCUUACUGACGUUAAAGCUCGAAGUGCGGGUAUCGAACAGGAUAGAUACCUGGUAGUCCGCACGGUAAACGAUGGAUGCCCGCUGUAGGCGAUACAUUGUCAGCGGCCAAGCGAAAGCGUUAAGCAUCCCACCUGGGGAGUACGCCGGCAACGGUGAAACUCAAAGGAAUUGACGGGGGCCCGCACAAGCGGAGGAACAUGUGGUUUAAUUCGAUGAUACGCGAGGAACCUUACCCGGGCUUGAACUGCAGAGGAAGGAUCUAGAGAUAGUGACGCCCUUCGGGGCCUCUGUGGAGGUGCUGCAUGGUUGUCGUCAGCUCGUGCCGUGAGGUGUCGGCUUAAGUGCCAUAACGAGCGCAACCCCUCUCCGUAGUUGCCAUCGGGUGAUGCCGGGCACUCUGCGGACACUGCCACCGCAAGGUGUGAGGAAGGUGGGGAUGACGUCAAAUCAGCACGGCCCUUACGUCCGGGGCUACACACGUGUUACAAUGGGGCAUACAGAGGGCUGGAUAUGCGCAAGCAUGUCCGAAUCUUGAAAGUGUCCCUCAGUUCGGAUUGGGGUCUGCAACCCGACCCCAUGAAGCUGGAUUCGCUAGUAAUCGCGCAUCAGCCAUGGCGCGGUGAAUACGUUCCCGU
rnacentral:rRNA from 1 species